UACGUAGGGACCGAGCGUUGUCCGGAAUUAUUGGGCGUAAAGAGCUCGUAGGCGGUCUGUUACGUCUGCUGUGAAAACCCGGGGCUUAACCCUGGGCUUGCAGUGGAUACGGGCAGACUAGAGGCAGGUAGGGGAGAAUGGAAUUCCCGGUGUAGCGGUGAAAUGCGCAGAUAUCGGGAGGAACACCGGUGGCGAAGGCGGUUCUCUGGGCCUGACCUGACGCUGAGGAGCGAAAGCGUGGGGAGCGAACAGG
rnacentral:rRNA from 1 species